UUGUUUGUUUUCUUAGUCCUCAGAAGAUAGGUACAGCAAGAGUUGUUUGUGGCCGGCGGCGGGCACCGCGCAAGGCCCUGUCCCACAGGGCUGCCCGCCGAAGCACGAUCCCUCAGAUACAGUAAACAGUGGUUGGAGCGCGAGACUCGUAAUGAUCCCUCCGCUGGUUCACCAACGGAGA
rnacentral:misc_RNA from 1 species